UACAAGGAUGGGCAGCUGUUUUCGCAAAGUCAGCCACCACUUGCUUCCAAAUGACCCUUAUCCAGAAGUAUCCGUGAGUGCCUCAUCAACAGAAACUAAAGUGGAGACCUACCUCUCAGAGAAAAACGCACACAUAAGAAAAGCCGACCCACUUCAGUACUGGGAAGAACAUCCUAAUCUGUUUCCCUCUAUGGCUGCUGUUGCGAUCUCAGUGUGCCCCCUGUAGCUCUGUGGACAGUUUUGGAUUUGUUUACAUCUCACCCAACCGCUCACGGCAGAUGGCUGCACCUCUCUAAGCCUGGUUCUGCCGGAGGUUUCUUCCUGUUAAAAGGGAGUUUUUCUGAACACACUCUACCACCAACAAGGACAGCUCACCAGUGGGAACUGAUAGAUAAGACUGCUGAUGUGCUCUCAUCCAUUGAAGAGCUGACCAGAAACGUGAACAGAAAGACUGCACCUGAUGGGAUCCCUGCCAUAACAGAUGUGUUCUGUCCAGUGAAGGCAGUGGAGAAGCCCUACACUGAUCUUGAAACUGUGCCACGCUAGUAGAACCGGCUACAAGGAUGGGCAGCUGUUUUCGCAAAGUCAGCCAACCACUUGCUUCCAAAUGAC